UUUCAAACCGGUGUAAGCCAGGUUGGUUUCUAUCUCUAAUUAGUUAAAAUAUUUUAGUACGAAAGGACCAAAUAUUUGAUUAAAAAUUUUAUAUUAGAAUAAAAUUGUUAUUUUGGCAGAAUAGUGCAAUAGAUUUAGAAUCUUUAUAUGUAAUUUUUUUACAAAUAAUACUUGUUAAUAAAAGAUUUAAUUUUAAUAAUAUUUUCCAGAGUAAUUUUAAUAUUAUGUGUUAUAAUUGGGGUUGCCUUUUUAACUUUAUUAGAACGUAAGAUUUUAGGAUAUAUUCAAAUUC
rnacentral:rRNA from 1 species